GGUUAAGCGACUAAGCGUACACGGUGGAUGCCCUGGCAGUCAGAGGCGAUGAAGGACGUGCUAAUCUGCGAAAAGCGUCGGUAAGGUGAUAUGAACCGUUAUAACCGGCGAUGUCCGAAUGGGGAAACCCAGUGCAAUUCGUUGCACUAUCGUUAACUGAAUACAUAGGUUAACGAGGCGAACCGGGGGAACUGAAACAUCUAAGUACCCCGAGGAAAAGAAAUCAACCGAGAUUCCCCCAGUAGCGGCGAGCGAACGGGGAGCAGCCCAGAGUCUGAAUCAGCUUGUGUGUUAGUGGAACGGUCUGGAAAGUCCGACGGUACAGGGUGAUAGUCCCGUACACCAAAAUGCACAGGCUGUGAACUCGAAGAGUAGGGCGGGACACGUGGUAUCCUGUCUGAAUAUGGGGGGACCAUCCUCCAAGGCUAAAUACUCCUGACUGACCGAUAGUGAACCAGUACCGUGAGGGAAAGGCGAAAAGAACCCCGGCGAGGGGAGUGAAAAAGAACCUGAAACCGUGUACGUACAAGCAGUGGGAGCACCUUCGGGUGUGACUGCGUACCUUUUGUAUAAUGGGUCAGCGACUUAUAUUUUGUAGCAAGGUUAACCGUAUAGGGGAGCCGCAGGGAAACCGAGUCUUAACUGGGCGUUAAGUUGCAGGGUAUAGACCCGAAACCCGGUGAUCUAGCCAUGGGCAGGUUGAAGGUUGGGUAACACUAACUGGAGGACCGAACCGACUAAUGUUGAAAAAUUAGCGGAUGACUUGUGGCUGGGGGUGAAAGGCCAAUCAAACCGGGAGAUAGCUGGUUCUCCCCGAAAGCUAUUUAGGUAGCGCCUCGUGAACUCAUCUUCGGGGGUAGAGCACUGUUUCGGCUAGGGGGUCAUCCCGACUUACCAACCCGAUGCAAACUACGAAUACCGAAGAAUGUUAUCACGGGAGACACACGGCGGGUGCUAACGUCCGUCGUGAAGAGGGAAACAACCCAGACCGCCAGCUAAGGUCCCAAAGUCAUGGUUAAGUGGGAAACGAUGUGGGAAGGCACAGACAGCCAGGAUGUUGGCUUAGAAGCAGCCAUCAUUUAAAGAAAGCGUAAUAGCUCACUGGUCGAGUCGGCCUGCGCGGAAGAUGUAACGGGGCUAAACCAUGCACCGAAGCUGCGGCAGCGACACUAUGUGUUGUUGGGUAGGGGAGCGUUCUGUAAGCCUGCGAAGGUGUGCUGUGAGGGUUGCUGGAGGUAUCAGAAGUGCGAAUGCUGACAUAAGUAACGAUAAAGCGGGUGAAAAGCCCGCUCGCCGGAAGACCAAGGGUUCCUGUCCAACGUUAAUCGGGGCAGGGUGAGUCGACCCCUAAGGCGAGGCCGAAAGGCGUAGUCGAUGGGAAACAGGUUAAUAUUCCUGUACUUGGUGUUACUGCGAAGGGGGGACGGAGAAGGCUAUGUUAGCCGGGCGACGGUUGUCCCGGUUUAAGCAUGUAGGCUGGUUGUCCAGGCAAAUCCGGAUAAUCAAGGCUGAGGUGUGAUGACGAGGCACUACGGUGCUGAAGUAACAAAUGCCCUGCUUCCAGGAAAAGCCUCUAAGCAUCAGGUAACAUCAAAUCGUACCCCAAACCGACACAGGUGGUCAGGUAGAGAAUACCAAGGCGCUUGAGAGAACUCGGGUGAAGGAACUAGGCAAAAUGGUGCCGUAACUUCGGGAGAAGGCACGCUGGUGUGUAGGUGAAGUCCCUGCGGAUGGAGCUGAGACCAGUCGAAGAUACCAGCUGGCUGCAACUGUUUAUUAAAAACACAGCACUGUGCAAACACGAAAGUGGACGUAUACGGUGUGACGCCUGCCCGGUGCCGGAAGGUUAAUUGAUGGGGUUAUCCGUAAGGAGAAGCUCUUGAUCGAAGCCCCGGUAAACGGCGGCCGUAACUAUAACGGUCCUAAGGUAGCGAAAUUCCUUGUCGGGUAAGUUCCGACCUGCACGAAUGGCGUAAUGAUGGCCAGGCUGUCUCCACCCGAGACUCAGUGAAAUUGAACUCGCUGUGAAGAUGCAGUGUACCCGCGGCAAGACGGAAAGACCCCGUGAACCUUUACUAUAGCUUGACACUGAACAUUGAGCCUUGAUGUGUAGGAUAGGUGGGAGGCUUUGAAGCGUGGACGCCAGUCUGCGUGGAGCCAACCUUGAAAUACCACCCUUUAAUGUUUGAUGUUCUAACGUUGGCCCCUGACCGGGGUUGCGGACAGUGUCUGGUGGGUAGUUUGACUGGGGCGGUCUCCUCCCAAAGCGUAACGGAGGAGCACGAAGGUUAGCUAAUCCUGGUCGGACAUCAGGAGGUUAGUGCAAUGGCAUAAGCUAGCUUGACUGCGAGCGUGACGGCGCGAGCAGGUGCGAAAGCAGGUCAUAGUGAUCCGGUGGUUCUGAAUGGAAGGGCCAUCGCUCAACGGAUAAAAGGUACUCCGGGGAUAACAGGCUGAUACCGCCCAAGAGUUCAUAUCGACGGCGGUGUUUGGCACCUCGAUGUCGGCUCAUCACAUCCUGGGGCUGAAGUAGGUCCCAAGGGUAUGGCUGUUCGCCAUUUAAAGUGGUACGCGAGCUGGGUUUAGAACGUCGUGAGACAGUUCGGUCCCUAUCUGCCGUGGGCGCUGGAGAAUUGAGGGGGGCUGCUCCUAGUACGAGAGGACCGGAGUGGACGCAUCACUGGUGUUCGGGUUGUCAUGCCAAUGGCACUGCCCGGUAGCUAAAUGCGGAAGAGAUAAGUGCUGAAAGCAUCUAAGCACGAAACUUGCCCCGAGAUGAGUUCUCCCUGAGACUUUAAGUCUCCUGAAGGAACGUUAAAGACGAUGACGUUGAUAGGCCGGGUGUGUAAGCGCAGCGAUGCGUUGAGCUAACCGGUACUAAUGAACCGUGAGGCUUAACCUU
rnacentral:rRNA from 1 species